UACAGGGGGGGCAAGCGUUGUUCGGAAUUACUGGGCGUAAAGGGCUCGUAGGUGGCCAACUAAGUCAGACGUGAAAUCCCUCAGCUUAACUGGGGAACUGCGUCUGAUACUGGAUGGCUUGAGUUUGGGAGAGGGAUGCGGAAUUCCAGGUGUAGCGGUGAAAUGCGUAGAUAUCUGGAGGAACACCGGUGGCGAAGGCGGCAUCCUGGACCAAUACUGACACUGAGGAGCGAAAGCGUGGGGAGCAAACAGG
rnacentral:rRNA from 1 species